rnacentral:misc_RNA from 1 species
UUUCCGUAGGUGAACCUGCGGAAGGAUCAUUACCAAAUUUUCCCAUCCAUCAUUUCAACACCGCGUGUGAACUGGAAACACUGCUCAUUGGGUCGUCUCUUGGUGGCCCAAUGUGUCAAACCCCAUGUCAACCCGUUUUGCUUUGCACUUUCUCGACUGUUCGGAAACGGACAGGGACAGAAAAUGACAAUAACAACUUUUAACGGUGGAUCUCUUGGCUCGC